AGUGAACGCUGGCGGUAGGCCUAACACAUGCAAGUCGAACGGCAGCACAGGAGAGCUUGCUCUCUGGGUGGCGAGUGGCGGACGGGUGAGGAAUACAUCGGAAUCUACCUUUUUCGUGGGGGAUAACGUAGGGAAACUUACGCUAAUACCGCAUACGACCUACGGGUGAAAGUGGGGACGGCAAGGCCUCACGCGAUUAGAUGAGCCGAUGUCCGAUUAGCUAGUUGGCGGGGUAAUGGCCCACCAAGGCGACGAUCGGUAGCUGGUCUGAGAGGAUGAUCAGCCACACUGGAACUGAGACACGGUCCAGACUCCUACGGGAGGCAGCAGUGGGGAAAUAUUGGACAAUGGGCGCAAGCCUGAUCCAGCCAUACCGCGUGGGUGAAGAAGGCCUCGGUUGU
rnacentral:rRNA from 1 species